CACGUAGGGUGCAAGCGUUGUCCGGAAUUAUUGGGCGUAAAGGGCUCGUAGGCGGUCCGUCACGUCGGGAGUGAAAACUCGGGGCUCAACCCCGAGCCUGCUUUCGAUACGGGCGGACUAGAGGUAGGUAGGGGAGAACGGAAUUCCUGGUGUAGCGGUGGAAUGCGUAGAUAUCGAGAGGAACACCUGCGGCGAAGGCGGGUUGCUGGGCUGACACUGACGCUGAUGCGCGAAAGCCAGGGGAGCGAACGGG
rnacentral:rRNA from 1 species